rnacentral:sRNA from 1 species
UGCGGAAGGAUCAUUACCGAAUUGUCAACAAGAGUUGUUGCUGGUCCUCAAACGGGGGCAUGUGCACGCUCUGUUAACACAUCCACUCACACCCUGUGCACCCUCUGUAGUUCUGUGGUUGGGGGACCUGUCCUCCUGCUGUGGUUCUGCAUCUUUACACACACACACUGUAACAAAGUCUCAUGGAAUGCAUCUGCGUUUAACGCAAUACAAUACAACUUUCAGCAACGGAUCUCUUGGCUCUCGCAUCGAUGAAGAACCGCAGCGAAAUGCGAUAAGUAAUGUGAAUWGCAGAAUUCAGUGAAUCAUCGAAUCUUUGAACGCACCUUGCGCCCUUUGGCCAUUCCGAAGGGCAUGCCUGUUUGAGUAUCAUGAACACCUCAACUCUUCAUGGUUUUCUGUGAUGAGCUUGGACUUUGGGGGUUUUGCUGGCCUAUGGUCGGCUCCUCUAAAAUGAAUCAGCUUGCCAGUGUUUGGUGGGCAUCACAGGUGUGAUAACUAUCUACGCUUGUGGUUUUCCCACCAGGUAACCUUCAGAAGGUUCGCUGGAGCUCACAGAUGUCUCUCCUCAGG